GAUGAACGCUGGCGGCGUGCCUAAUACAUGCAAGUCGAACGAGUUCUGAUUAUUGAAAGGUGCUUGCAUCUUGAUUUAAUUUUGAACGAGUGGCGGACGGGUGAGUAACACGUGGGUAACCUGCCCUUAAGUGGGGGAUAACAUUUGGAAACAGAUGCUAAUACCGCAUAAAUCCAAGAACCGCAUGGUUCUUGGCUGAAAGAUGGCGUAAGCUAUCGCUUUUGGAUGGACCCGCGGCGUAUUAGCUAGUUGGUGAGGUAACGGCUCACCAAGGCAAUGAUACGUAGCCGAACUGAGAGGUUGAUCGGCCACAUUGGGACUGAGACACGGCCCAAACUCCUACGGGAGGCAGCAGUAGGGAAUCUUCCACAAUGGACGCAAGUCUGAUGGAGCAACGCCGCGUGAGUGAAGAAGGCUUUCGGGUCGUAAAACUCUGCUGUUGGAGAAGAAUGGUCGGCAGAGUAACUGUUGUCGGCGUGACGGUAUCCAACCAGAAAGCCACGGCUAACUACGUGCCAGCAGCCGCGGUAAUACGUAGGUGGCAAGCGUUAUCCGGAUUUAUUGGGCGUAAAGCGAGCGCAGGCGGUUUUUUAAGUCUGAUGUGAAAGCCCUCGGCUUAACCGAGGAAGUGCAUCGGAAACUGGGAAACUUGAGUGCAGAAGAGGACAGUGGAACUCCAUGUGUAGCGGUGAAAUGCGUAGAUAUAUGGAAGAACACCAGUGGCGAAGGCGGCUGUCUGGUCUGUAACUGACGCUGAGGCUCGAAAGCAUGGGUAGCGAACAGGAUUAGAUACCCUGGUAGUCCAUGCCGUAAACGAUGAAUGCUAGGUGUUGGAGGGUUUCCGCCCUUCAGUGCCGCAGCUAACGCAUUAAGCAUUCCGCCUGGGGAGUACGACCGCAAGGUUGAAACUCAAAGGAAUUGACGGGGGCCCGCACAAGCGGUGGAGCAUGUGGUUUAAUUCGAAGCAACGCGAAGAACCUUACCAGGUCUUGACAUCUUUUGAUCACCUGAGAGAUCAGGUUUCCCCUUCGGGGGCAAAAUGACAGGUGGUGCAUGGUUGUCGUCAGCUCGUGUCGUGAGAUGUUGGGUUAAGUCCCGCAACGAGCGCAACCCUUAUGACUAGUUGCCAGCAUUUAGUUGGGCACUCUAGUAAGACUGCCGGUGACAAACCGGAGGAAGGUGGGGAUGACGUCAAAUCAUCAUGCCCCUUAUGACCUGGGCUACACACGUGCUACAAUGGAUGGUACAACGAGUUGCGAGACCGCGAGGUCAAGCUAAUCUCUUAAAGCCAUUCUCAGUUCGGACUGUAGGCUGCAACUCGCCUACACGAAGUCGGAAUCGCUAGUAAUCGCGGAUCAGCACGCCGCGGUGAAUACGUUCCCGGGCCUUGUACACACCGCCCGUCACACCAUGAGAGUUUGUAACACCCGAAGCCGGUGGCGUAACCCUUUUAGGGAGCGAGCCGUCUAAGGUGGGACAAAUGAUUAGGGUG
rnacentral:rRNA from 2 species